ensembl:lncRNA
UUACGAAUACUAAAGAUAUUGCACUCUGUGUAACAGCAGCAUAUUUAUUACUGAACCAUGUAUAUAUUAAUAGCACAGGCAACAAAAAUGGCAAAUAUUAAACUAUUUUCAAAAUGUCUUAUCCUGUCCACAUUUUUGUUCACAGUGAUUAUCGGAGAUAACUUUUGCACUUCUCAGCGGCCCAGAUGGCUGCAUAAUUCUCAGGUCAGUGAAAAUCGUGUGCUUCUAGCUUUUGGCCCUUCUCAGUAACGGUGGUGAAUCUGAGGUGCAUCAUCGCCUUCACGGACUGUGGUUCCAUCAGGCACAGAGUUAAAAUAACCAAGAAAAUGUCCAUUCAUAUCUAUAGUAAGAUCGACUGUAUCUAGAAAUGUGUGAGCUAGCGCCAUGCACUUUAAAGACUGUGCAUUCUAGGAGAAAAGACGCAUAAAGUGUAAACUAUGGAGGCUUCGUUGCAAAGGGAGGGUGAUCCAGAAGGGCAGUCGGCACACCCUCGUGAUUGACGGCAUCGGUGGUGCAGUGUGAGUUUUGGAAAUUUGUGGGUUCCACCUACGUUUAUUACCUUUGCCACUUCUGCAGGACUUGAACAAAAUGAAACAGUAAAAUGGUGGGCAGCACACGAGGAAGGAAAGAGAAAGCCGUUUUAUCAGCUGCUGGGCUUUCCUUCAUAACCUUGAGCGGCCUUGCGGAGCGCUCGGAGCAGGGCGCCCGGGGACCUGCCCCCCUCCGCUGCCGGAGCAACCUGGCCGAGUCAGGACGCCCCCUGAGCUCCGCGGGGCGGCCGCCGGCAGAGCUGAGUUACCCGCUUCACUGCAGUCACAGGCGAGUCUGGCACCAUGAGCGCCUGGCCAUCUUCAGCCUCGCCAGCGGGAGGACGGUUCCUCCUCAUGGUGGGGGGUGGUCCCCAACACAGGAACGCACAGAAAGGUCCAGGAGGCCCCAAGGCAGGCAGGCAGAGUAGCAGUUCCGUCCCCAGGAGCAAGGGCAGCUGGUAAUUCUCUUCUCUUUGCUCCCUGCCUUCUCCGACCAGCAACGUCUCUGAGUUUGAUAACAGUCACUCAGGCAAAGUACUGAUGAGAACUGUUUUCUUAUGAUGAGAACUUUUAAGAUUUACUCUCCUAGCCACUUGCAAAUACACAAGCAAUAUUAUCCGCCGUCACCGUAUCAUACAUUACAUCCCAUGGCUUACAUAUCUUAUAACUGGAAAUUUAUCUCAAACCCCUUCCCUGGGUCACCCAAUCCCCAGCCCUGCAACCACCCAUCUGUUUAUGAGCUUUGUUUUGUUUUAGAGUCCACGUAGUAGUGAGAUCAUCAUAUGGUAUUUAUCUUUCUGUGUCUGACAUUUCAUUUAGCAUAACGCCCUCAAGGUAUAUCCACGUUGUUGCAAAUGGCAAAAUUUCAUAAUUUUUUAUGGCUGAGUAAUAUAUAUAUUAUAUAACACAUUUAUCUUGCAUUUUAGAAUUUUCGUUUUCCACUUGUGUGUGUGCGAACACUUAAGCUGUUUCCAUGUCUUGGUUAUUAUUGAAAAUAAAGCUGCAGUGAACAUGGGGUGCAUAUAUCCUUUUUAAGUAGUGUUUCCAUUUUCUUCAGAUAAAUGCCCAGGAGUGGGAUUACUGGAUCGUAUCAUGGUGAAAUGAUGUCAUCUUUCUUACAAAAGAAAUCUGGGUUGGGUGAGGACCACGGUAACAUCUGUCGCGCUCCUUCAGUGACAGGAGCAUUCAGACCAUCCAUUCCCUCCAGAGUUCGUCAGAAAAUAAAGGAGCUUCCUAGAAUGGACAGAGCUCUCAGCGCCUUUCUACUGGUCACAGACUAUUCUGGGCAGUAGUUUGAAAAUGAAACUGAUUUAUUAAAAGCUUACAGGAGGAGGAAGAAAGGCCUGAGGUUGGCUAACUUGCUGUGGGAGAGCGCCGGGCUGUGACCCAAGGUCGUGAGAGUGAGUCUCCUGCAGCAGUGGCCCGCAAGCUCAGGGCUCACAUAACCCUGGGCAGGUCACCGAGGCUGCUUCCCUGCCUGUAAAACAAGGUGGAAUCCCUCAAGAGCACUUGGUGGCAAAUCUGAGGAAUCCACAUGCGUUAGCCGGGAGGAUUUCAUAGCAAAACAGAGCCAGACUCUGUUAUUAUAGAAUUCAAGCUGGGGACUCUCCUGCUCCCUGAGGGCUGGAAGGCAGCAGGGCCCCAGGUGGGCUGUGCACGUGAUCCUCUCUUUAGCUCACAGAGCCCCAUGAGCCGGAGUUACGUCUGAGAGGGAGGCAGGGGCGGGGAGUGCAGGGCAGGAGGGCCUCGGGGAUGUUCCCUUCCCGCCUCCCAUCCCGGGACCUGUGUCUGCCUCACUCCUCCUGCUGCAGACCGGCUUCCUCUGCUCCCCAGGCCGUGGGGCAGGACAAGGCUGCCCUGGGUACCAAGCUCCCCCUCCGCAUGUGGUCACGCACAGAAGCCAUCUCAGCCAGUUCUAGGACAGGACUGUUACCGGCGCAUCUCCGGUCCCGUCACUCAGAGCCGAAGGCACCGGAGCUGUGAGGAGCCCAGGAGUUUCAGGGUGAGAGCAGGGGAGGCGUUCCAGAAUUAUCNNNNNNNNNNNNNNNNNNNNNNNNNNNNNNNNNNNNNNNNNNNNNNNNNNNNNNNNNNNNNNNNNNNNNNNNNNNNNNNNNNNNNNNNNNNNNNNNNNNNNNNNNNNNNNNNNNNNNNNNNNNNNNNNNNNNNNNNNNNNNNNNNNNNNNNNNNNNNNNNNNNNNNNNNNNNNNNNNCAUAGCAGAAAUCAAACCGAUAUUGUAAAGCAAUUAUCCUUCAAUUAAAAAUAGAUAAUUUUUUUUAAAUUAGGUAAAAAGUUUUAAAAAAAGAAAUCAUAGUAGUGAAUCAGUUCUCAGACUUGAGGGUGAAUCAAAACCGCUGGGAGGACAUGUUAGAACACGGAUGUCGUCGUUAAGUUGCUCAGUCAUGUCCAACCCGUUGGACCCCGUGGACUGUAGCCCACCAGGCUCUGCCCAUGGGAUCCUCCAGACAAGAGCACUGGAAUUUCCUUCUCCAGGGCAUCUUCCCGACCCAGGGACUGAACCUAUGUCUCCUGCAUUGCAGGCGGAUUCUUUACCACUGAGCCAUCUGGGAAGCCGCAAAACACAGAUGACCAGACCCCAACUCACAGUUUCUGAUUCAGUAGGUCUGGAGGGGCACAGUCUGAGAAUUUGCACUUGUAACAAGCUCUGAAGAUACUUGCAACGUCUAGUUCCCAAAGUGGGGUCCACAUUGCUGGCCCCGCCUGUUUCUUCAACCUGCAGGUUCCAGAGUCAGAAGGGCCCCAGGGUGGGGCGCGUGUGUGCACCGCCGCUUGAGAAAUGUCUUUGUUCCCGACCUUGAGUGUCACCAUGGGGAAAUAAAAGGUGACCAGCUGAAACUGUGAGUCACGCAGUCGUGUCUGACUCUUUUGUGAUCCGAUGGACUGUAGUGCCCCAGGCUCCUCUAUCCAUGGGGUUCUCCAGGCAAGAGUGCUGGAGUGGGUUGGUGUUUCCUUCUCCAGGGGAUCUUCCCCAGAAAUUGAACCCAGGUCUCCUGCAUUGCAGGCAGAUGUUUUAUCAACUGAGCUACAAGGGAAGCCCCAAGAAUAAUCCUGGAGGGGGUUGCCAUUCUCUUCUCCAGGGGAUCUUCCCCACCCAGGGANNNNNNNNNNNNNNNNNGCAUUGCAGGCAGAUUCUUUACUGUCUGAGCCACGAGGGAAGCCCAAGGAUGUAUGCUCAGUGUUAUUAAACGGUUAAAGUGGUUAAUUAAUCAUUGUAUUUGGAUUAAAGCAAAACAAACUUGCCACUUUCACUAAAGCAAAGGCGGUUAACCUCAGGAUGGUAAAUCCAGCCUUUGGGGUGGGUGAAAACUCUUUUUUUCCGGGCAUUUUCAUUUCUCCCUUAUGGUUCAGGCCGACUGAGCGCAAGGUUCACUAGUAACUAAAGGCUGGACAGGGCUCGCGGGCCGGGGAUUAGAUGGCCUCCGGCCGCCCAGCCCCGAGGUCCGCCCAGCCCGGGGGCCGCCAAUGAGGAGCCGAGGGGGCUCCGUGACGUCAUCGGGAGGCCCUCUCAUUGGCUGCCGCUGCGGCGCGGGGCAACCCCUCAUUAGCGCUCCGGGGCUGAGAGCAGCUUGACCCCUUACCCCGGCCCGGCUCCUCUGCCAGCAGCAGCGCUCUCCGAAGGGAAGUCCUGCUUUCUGACCAAGUGCUGCUUUUCGGCGCUGACCUUUGACUGCUGUGCUACUGCUGUUCAGCUGGUGUCUUCAGCCUUUCCUAGAUGCCUGACCGGUCACUCAUUUCCCGUUUACUUUAAUCAUGUCUUUUAACGAGUUUUGUCUUGCUUCGCGGCGGAUGAAUUUCUCAAGCCGGAAUUUACUGUGGCGUGCUCGUGAUCAUCUGUCCCACACUUAACCUGGGAAUUAACAAG